CAUCUUGUCUCCCUCUCCUUACCUGCGUCCUCGGGGGCGUGCGCACCACCCCCCCUCCCGCCGAGGAGGGGGGAGGGCCCCCUCUUGGCCGCCGCCUUCGCGGCCUUUAAAUUCCCCUGGGGCACGCGGUUACUGUCACCGCCUUGCUUCCACUGCUUCCUCUCGCGGCACAGAGAUGCGGGCGGUGGGUGGGAAAAAUGGGAGACGCUACUCGCAGCGAACCGCCACCGCCGCUUCCGAGGCCUCACCAAAAUGGCCGCCGCCGUCUCGGCCGCCACCACCAACACCACCGCCACCACCACAGCUCACUAUCGCUACCGCCGGCGCGGCCCGUCCUCUCGCGAGAGACAAUCACCCAGAAAGCUGAAGCAAUUUCUCAGGUACUUUCAGCAAGUAAGCAGUGGAACCUGGGCCUCUGUAUUCCCACGACAGACCACUUACGUAGAGCUGCUUCGUUUUACACAAGGGUGGUAUUCCCAGUAACUCCUAAGCACUUAUGCCAUCUGUUAGCCAACUUUUUAGGUUAAGAACCCCUUUGAGAAUAUGA